CCCCGGGCCGGCUUUUUCUAGGGCUGCUGCGGGCCACUGGGCGCUGGCUGCUCCCGCUCGCCUCUUGGGGUGCGCUCAGCUCCAGCCCAACUCCGCCAACUCCGCCAGCUCCAGCAUCGCUCCAGCCCGAUUCCAGUCCAACUCCAGCCCGGUUCCAGCCCAGUUCCAGCCCGAUUCCAACCCAGCUCCGGCCCGGCUCCGGUUCUCCACCACGCCUCUCUGUCGACGCGACUGAGCAGCUUCGCAGGAAAAUCCCAGAAACCUUUGCAAAAAGCUUACAAUGAAAUUUAAGAAGUUCUACGAUUUCGGCGCCAUUUUCGAGUGGAGUGAGAGGUUGUUUAGUUUUUUCCAGUGUGAAACUCGACAUUGGAAAAGUUUGGCUCCAAGGGUGACCAUCGACUUUUUUCUCCACUGUUCCAUGUCCAUGUAAAAGUGACUUGUAAUAUAGCCAAGAAAAGAUGGAAAUUUUUCGUUUCAACUUAAGGAGUGGGGCUGUUACUAUUAAUAGCUUUAUUUAUCAUGACCUAAGCAAUGCAUUUGUUAGCGCUGGAUCAUAAUCUGUUAUGUUAGGAAUUUUGUACUUAGUUUAACUACAGACUCUGUAUAUUAAUUAAUUAAUCAAUUAAUUAGCAUAAAUUAAAUUAGCAUUCACUGUACUAGUUUUGAAAAACUGACAUAAUUUUAAAUGCAAAUACAGGAAAUUUGGCGACAUUCAAUUUCUGUUUAUGUACACAGAAUGUAUUUUUACUUUCAAAGGCACUAUAGUUUUAUUGUUUUAGUUAUUAGGUCUGUGGUUAAGGACUAAAGAAUGUUUUUGUGCUUUCUUGAAUGCUUUGUUUAAAGAAGGAAAUGAAUCAAUGUAACUUGUUUCUCACGUGUGUCCAUUUUGAAAAGCAACAGUGGGAGCUAAGGAGUUAAUCACUAAGGAGCAUGCACAGUGCCGGCCAUUUCAAGACAUGCAGAUUUUGGUGGAGUUGCUUAAGAAGGAAUGAUUUGUAUCUAACAUCAAGGAUGUCAUUUACUUAAAGUUCUUGAUUUGUGAUUUGAUGUUGAUGAUGAUAAAUGUAAAUUUAUAUAUAAAUAAGCUUGAAUAGCCAGCAGUGUAUGAGAACAUCCAGGGGUUUCUCAUGCUUUGUCCUUAAAAAUAACUAAAGACAAGAUGUUUACUGUAAGAAUGCAAGUCUAUCCCAUGCCUAUAGUAUUAGUAAAACCAACUGGGACUACCCAGAGGGAUUUUUUUUUUGAUUAUCGAAAUUUCCUUGCAUUGAUUUCCAAUAAAUAACCAAAACCCGGGUCAAUAAAUGAAACUUAUACAAGGUAGCAGGAUGUUUCAGCAAGACUUUGGAGCUGGCAAGAGUGAUCCAGAUGUUGCCAAAUUGUCUCAGUUUAUUUAAUCCCACUUUUCAUCUGCUAUCAGAGGUAAGCGUCUCCCCCACCCCACUAUCUGCCAUAACCCUGCUUUCCACCAACACACCCUUUGCCUCACCAGCAGAUCCUGGAAAUCAAGCAAAUUUUUAAGAAGUAUUAGCUUACAAGGAGUCCACCAACUUGGAGUGCUAUGUCCUAAGAGGCGAAACAUUGUAAUUCUCACCAAGGGGCAGGGCAAACAGGGACUCCCUUCUACUCACAGAGACUUUCUUCAUUCGCAGGUACCCCAGAGCGGCCCCCACCCUCGCUGACUCCGAAGGGAUGCAGCAGCAAUUCAUGUUUUGGAGUAUUGCCAAGGUUCAAAACAUGAAGCGCUGCAACACCCCUUCGUGGGAAAUAGAGAGGUGGGGUCCUGCACAACAGACCUGUGUGGGUUCUACUAAAGCAGGUAGGUGGGAGGGGGCGUGUCUAUCUCGUCAGUCCAGCCUUACUCUGGCAGGGCCUUAGUGUAGGGAGGGUAUCUCUACACAGUUCAAGGGCCAGGGUGGGGGUGACUGCAUAGCAAGCACUUGAAGAAGGGACAAGGUAUCCUGAACUCAGCCCACCACACCCAGUCGUGCCCUAGCAGCGGGAACAGUACUGCAGUGAGUGUUUGGUGCCCUGGAGUAUUGUUUCCGCUGCCUGGGUAAGUCUGGGACUUCCACAUGGGCACACCCACCAGGUAAGUUUCAGUGCAUCACCUACAGCCUAGGCCCCAAUGGGAGGGAGACUCUAGAACAGCCCCAAAUUAGAGUUGCCUAUCUGUGAAUAUGUGACUGGGUAUGACAGCAACUUUGUUCUUAGCACUUCACUCACUGCCCAGGUAAAAGUGAACCGACUAGGAAAAAAAGCACUUCCUGAUCACCUAGUAGACACAAGACAAAACCAAGAAAGUUUGCCUUAAGUCCUCAGCAACAAAAUGGGGAGGGGUCCCCCAAAAGGAAUAAGAAAUGUUCUGGAGGUGGCCAGGAAGGGCAACUUGAGGCAAUUCCCAUUUCUCUCUGCAGUUCCCACUUAGGGCCAGCAUGGAAAGGACUUUAGAGGUUAGCAAAAAUUAAGGGGUUCAUGGGAGUAUCCCUGGAUCUCUUCAUGCCUUGCUGGUGGGGAACCCCAGUUGGUACACUGUGAAGCAAUGGUCCAAACAGGAAGCCCCAGGCUCUGCAUUUCUAGUUCCUUUUUAUCCUCCUUUCCCAAAGUCAUAACACAAUUCUACCAUGGCGGUGGGGACAUGGGGAGACCCUUGUCACUGCCUAGAAGCCUCUGAGAAAAUGGCCGCCUUGUGACAUCCCAAACUCUGCCGUGACUAAUCAUGGCACCUCCAUUUCCCUGAGGAGCCCUUUGAGCCUGAGGUGAAAAAAAAACAGGUCAAGAGGCGCCUGGGAACUGGAGAAGAGUAUUAACUUCUGGAGCAAGACCUUAUUUUUCCUGUGAAAAUCACUUUACAUAAUCUGGAGUAUGGGCAUGUAAAGGACUAUUGGAAAAUGAGUGUGGAUGAAAUCAUGCUUCUUUGUCUUAUUAAAAAGAAAUAAAAUACACGUACACACA